rnacentral:rRNA from 1 species
CCUACGGGUGGCAGCAGUCGAGAAUCAUUCACAAUGGGGGAAACCCUGAUGGUGCGACGCCGCGUGGGGGAAUGAAGGUCUUCGGAUUGUAAACCCCUGUCAUGUGGGAGAAAAUUAAAAAGAUUGUACCACAAGAGGAAGAGACGGCUAACUCUGUGCCAGCAGCCGCGGUAAUACAGCGGUCUCAAGCGUUGUUCGGAAUCACUGGGCGUAAAGCGUGCGUAGGCUGUUUCGUAAGUCGUGUGUGAAAGGCGCGGGCUCAACCCGAGGACGGCACAUGAUACUGCGAGACUGGAGUGAUGGAGGGGGAACCGGAAUGCUCGGUGUAGCAGUGAAAUGCGUAGAUAUCGAGAGGAACACUCGUGGCGAAGGCGGGUUGCUGGACAGUAACUGACGCUGAGGCACGAAGGCCAGGGGAGCGAAAGGGAUUAGAUACCCCAGUAGUC